CCUGAAUAAAGGAUCAUAUCUCACUGCUCCCUCAGAGCCAGGAGGGAUGUCAUUGCCAGAGUUUUCAUACCACUAAACAGGUCUUGGUUACAACAGCUCUGCUAAUUGUGGAUAUCAGUGAGAGAUUAUCUGACUUUCACCACCUCAGGACUACUCUGUAUGAGAGCAGUCGCAGGAGGCUUUGAAGGAGUUUGGGAUCUACAACAGUGACAGAGUAGAUGGUACAUAGAGCUCGAGGAAAAGUUGAAUAACUCCAGGAUUGCAAUUCAAAGGAUGUGAAUUACAUAUUAAACAUGUCCCACAGAAAAGGUUCUGAAAGAAAAAGGCCGUGCUGGAAUUCCCUUUCUUUUGCAGCCUAUA